AGUGAACGCUGGCGGUAGGCCUGACACAUGCAAGUCGAACGGCAGCACAGUAAGAGCUUGCUCUUACGGGUGGCGAGUGGCGGACGGGUGAGGAAUACAUCGGAAUCUACUUUUUCGUGGGGGAUAACGUAGGGAAACUUACGCUAAUACCGCAUACGACCUACGGGUGAAAGCAGGGGAUCUUCGGACCUUGCGCGAUUGAAUUAGCCGAUGUCGGAUUAGCUAGUUGGCGGGGUAAAGGCCCACCAAGGCGACGAUCCGUAGCUGGUCUGAGAGGAUGAUCAGCCACACUGGAACUGAGACACGGUCCAGACUCCUACGGGAGGCAGCAGUGGGGAAUAUUGGACAAUGGGCGAAAGCCUGAUCCAGCCAUACCGCGUGGGUGAAGAAGGCCUUCGGGUUGUAAAGCCCUUUUGUUGGGAAAGAAAAGCAGCAGGUUAAUACCCCGCUGUUCUGACGGUACCCAAAGAAUAAGCACCGGCUAACUUCGUG
rnacentral:rRNA from 1 species